UACAGAGGCCCCAAGCGUUACUGAGAAUCACUGGGUUUAAAGGGUGCGUAGGUGGUCCGUUAAGUUCGUUGUGAAAUCCCUGGGCUCAACCCAGGAAAUGCUUCGAAUACUGGCGGACUUGAGGCUAGUAGGGGUCACUGGAACUGACGGUGGAGCGGUGAAAUGCGUAGAUAUCGGAAGGAACGCCGGUGGCGAAAGCGGCGUGCUGGACCCCUUCUGACGCUGAGGCGCGAAAGCCAGGGGAGCAAACGGG
rnacentral:rRNA from 1 species